rnacentral:rRNA from 1 species
UACGCGAGGAACCUUACCAAGACUUAAAUGGGAGUGGACAGGCUUAGAAAUAGGCUCUCCUUCGGGCCGCUUCCAAGGUGCUGCAUGGUUGUCGUCAGCUCGUACCGUGAGGUGUUAGGUUAAGUCCUGCAACGAGCGCAACCCCUGUCACUAGUUGCUAGCAUUAAGUUGAGGACUCUAGUGAGACUGCCUACGCAAGUAGAGAGGAAGGUGGGGAUGACGUCAAAUCAUCACGGCCCUUACGUCUUGGGCCACACACGUAAUACAAUGGCCGGUACAGAGGGCAGCUACACAGCGAUGUGAUGCAAAUCUCGAAAGCCGGUCUCAGUUCGGAUUGGAGUCUGCAACUCGACUCUAUGAAGCUGGAAUCGCUAGUAAUCGCGCAUCAGCCAUGGCGCGGUGAAUACGUUCCCGGGCCUUGUACACAC